rnacentral:lncRNA from 1 species
AUGGCCUCCCCCUGUCCCUGACUCAACUGGAGCUCAGUUCACUCUGCUUUGAAGGAGUAGGAGGAGAACACUACUCACAAAAAGGAGGGCAAGAACCGGCUUGUUCACCAUUGUAUUCCUGCACCACAGCAUAAGCACUCAAUCAUUAUGGGUUAAAGGCUGAAAUUCAAAAAGAGAAAGGGAGAUGUUAGACACCUACUGACCAAGGAGGUGCCCUCCAUUCUGCUUAACCACCGCCCAGGCCAGUCAUUUCUCUCCCUGGAAGACUUUGAGUCAUGCACGCGCAAGGAAAAUGACAAGAGUAGCAAAGAGGAUUAUGAGCAGUGCAAUACAAAACAAGGCUGCAACAAAAGAUGAAGAAAUACUUCAGUGCAUGCCGUGUGCAGCCUAGAAGUUACAUAUGCAAUUGUAGAUGAAGCUAACUGACCAGGCGACACCAGGAGGAGCACGAGGACCAAGAGAACUAAGUGGGCAAGAUGCCCAGGCAGUGGACAGAAAACAGAGAACAACAACAUCCAAAGAGCCACCUGGAGAACAGAUGGGGACCGGGGACCAGAAUGCUCUUCCUAAAUCAAAUAGAAAACAGGAAGGCUGUCCAAAGAUUUGGGGGGCCAGGAGAGUGAGCAAUACAGAAGGGAUUGUGACCACCAAGCUCCCUUUCUAGAGAAUGUGUCCAAAGCAGGUCCAGGCAGACUGGGGGUGGGAGAGGAGAAUUCACAUUAAAUAUUUAUAAUGUGCACAAUGAGUUCUAGUGGGAAAUCUCAGAAGAUGCCACCAUUUCCAACUUUAAAAUACCCUUCUUCUUCAAUGUCUGUGUGUGUUUUUAGGAAUCCAAAUACAAUAAAAUAUUCAUCAUGGAGAGUUUUUGAUGGUAAAAGAGUAUCCCAGGGAAUAUCUUCUGAUGUUGUAUCGUCACCCUUUGUGGAAUUUUCUCCCUCUCACUUCAUUCUUUAUUGGGUUGGAAUUGGGAUAAAAGAGUAGAGUGGGUCAUAAGGUCCUGUUCCAAGUAAUUAGAGAGUUUUUUCUUUUAUCUAAAUGUGCCUUGUUAAAGUAUAUCAGUGUCAGCCAGGUUAAUUGGAACUUUAAUACAUAAUUGAUGCUAAUUUAUGGCUCUUUUUG